rnacentral:misc_RNA from 1 species
AGGCUCACGGUGAUGGUAUAUAUCCUGGGGGAAAUUUGUUGUGGUAUACUGUGUAUAUGUGAGCUAGUAUUCCACAUCAAUAAGAUGGCAAUCAUCUCUGGAAACAUGUUAUAGAUUAUUAUGUAUGUGUGUGUGUGUAUUAUAUACGGUCAAACAGCAGAGGCUCAUGGUGAUAGUAUAUAUCCUGGGGGAAAUUUGUUGUGGUAUACUGUGUAUAUGUGAGCUAGUAUUCCACAUCAAUAAGAUGGCAAUCAUCUCUGGAAACAUGUUAUAGAUUAUUAUGUAUGUGUGUGUGUGUAUUAUAUACGGUCAAACAGCAGAGGCUCAUGGUGAUA